CUCAGACCCACUUGGUUUGACUGGGAGAAGAGCAUUCCCAAAAGAUUUUUCUGGGCACAGUGUAGGUCAGCUCGGUUCUCUGCUUAGAAUCUCACAAGGUCAAAAUCUAGUUUUACAGACAUUACUGAAUUUCAUUGGGGAUACAGAGCUUCACACAUGGAGACUUUGAAAGAAUAUAAAAAUUCUCCCAGUGCAUUUGGGGGAGUCCAACUUUUACAGUUCUAAAGUAUGUCACACAUAGCAAGUCAGUCACUGGAGGAGGCAUCAGCGAUGCGAGGCCUUUGAUGCUUUCUGCUAUAAUGGAGGCCAGAGGCCAGAGUCAGUAUUUACACCUUGCAGCACAUUGACCAGCUGUUCCAGCA